rfam:Clostridium sp. CAG:264 genomic scaffold, scf96
CCAUGCAACCGGGGAAGUAGCGGUGCCCUGAACCUGCAAUCCGCUAUAGCAGGGGUGAUAGUUUUCUUGAGGGAUGUCCACUGUAGGGCUGCCCUUAGUAAGUGGCGUUGAUGUCUGGGUCUUGCGCAACAGGACUCUUCGAACCGUGUCAGGUCGGAGACGAAGCAGCACUAAGGAGAAUCUCCUGUGUGCCGCGAGGGUGCCUGGGCUGAGCUAACUGCUAAGGUAACGCUUAUGGCGGCAUUUCGAGAGAAAACUGCAUGG